rnacentral:rRNA from 1 species
AAAGUUUGAAUCUGCUCAGAUGACGCUGCGCGUGCUAACCCAUGCAAGUCGACCGGUGAAGCCCAGCUUGCUGGGUGGAUCAGGGGCGGAACGGGGGAGUAACACGGGAGCAAUUCUGCCCUGACUCUGGGAAUAAGCGCUGGAAACCGGCGGUCUAAUACUGGAUAUGAGCUGCGAUCCCAUGGUCAAGUAGCUGRAAAAGAUUUUUUGGUCAGGGAUGAGCUCGCGGCCUAUCAGCUUGUUGGUGAGGUAAUGGCUCACCAAGGCGUCGACGGGUAGCCGGCCUGAGAGGGUGACCGGCCACACUGGGACUGAGACACGGCCCAGACUCCUACGGGAGGCAGCAGUGGGGAAUAUUGCACAAUGGGCGCAAGCCUGAUGCAGCAACGCCGCGUGAGGGAUGACGGCCUUCGGGUUGUAAACCUCUUUUAGCAGGGAAGAAGCGAAAGUGACGGUACCUGCAGAAAAAGCGCCGGCUAACUACGUGCCAGCAGCCGCGGUAAUACGUAGGGCGCAAGCGUUAUCCGGAAUUAUUGGGCGUAAAGAGCUCGUAGGCGGUUUGUCGCGUCUGCUGUGAAAUCCCGAGGCUCAACCUCGGGUCUGCAGUGGGUACGGGCAGACUAGAGUGCGGUAGGGGAGAUUGGAAUUCCUGGUGUAGCGGUGGAAUGCGCAGAUAUCAGGAGGAACACCGAUGGCGAAGGCAGAUCUCUGGGCCGUAACUGACGCUGAGGAGCGAAAGGGUGGGGAGCAAACAGGCUUAGAUACCCUGGUAGUCCACCCCGUAAACGUUGGGAACUAGUUGUGGGGUCCAUUCCACGGAUUCCGUGACGCAGCUAACGCAUUAAGUUCCCCCCGCG